CGGGUGGUGAUGAGUGGCGAACGGGUGAGUAACACGUGGGUAAUCUGCCCUGCACUCUGGGAUAAGCCUUGGAAACGAGGUCUAAUACCGGAUAUCACAAUCUCUCGCAUGGGGGGUUGUUGAAAGUUCUGGCGGUGCAGGAUGAACCCGCGGCCUAUCAGCUUGUUGGUGGGGUAGUGGCCUACCAAGGCGACGACGGGUAGCCGGCCUGAGAGGGUGACCGGCCACACUGGGACUGAGACACGGCCCAGACUCCUACGGGAGGCAGCAGUGGGGAAUAUUGCACAAUGGGCGCAAGCCUGAUGCAGCGACGCCGCGUGAGGGAUGACGGCCUUCGGGUUGUAAACCUCUUUCGCCAGGGACGAAGCGCAAGUGACGGUACCUGGAUAAGAAGCACCGGCUAACUACGUGCCAGCAGCCGCGGUAAUACGUAGGGUGCGAGCGUUGUCCGGAUUUAUUGGGCGUAAAGAGCUCGUAGGCGGUUUGUCGCGUCGGCCGUGAAAUCUCCACGCUUAACGUGGAGCGUGCGGUCGAUACGGGCAGACUUGAGUUCGGUAGGGGAGACUGGAAUUCCUGGUGUAGCGGUGAAAUGCGCAGAUAUCAGGAGGAACACCGGUGGCGAAGGCGGGUCUCUGGGCCGAUACUGACGCUGAGGAGCGAAAGCGUGGGGAGCGAACAGGAUUAGAUACCCUGGUAGUCCACGCUGUAAACGUUGGGCGCUAG
rnacentral:rRNA from 1 species